UGCUGCUCUACGUCGACAACCUAUCCAUUUUCAACUGGGUUGUCGUUCAACGACCCAAUGGGUCUCCAGCAACCAUCCAGUUCAAUUGGGCUUAACCACCUUACACCAACCCAGGUCCACCAGAUCCAAACCCAGAUGCACCAUAAUAACCUCUCAUAUCUUCAAGCUUACCAACAACCCCAAACCCUCAAAUUCUUAUCCCCAAAGCCGAUCCCCAUGA
rnacentral:lncRNA from 1 species